UACGUAGGGUGCAAGCGUUGUCCGGAAUUAUUGGGCGUAAAGAGCUCGUAGGCGGUCUGUCGCGUCUGCUGUGAAAACUCAGGGCUUAACCCUGAGCUUGCAGUGGGUACGGGCAGACUAGAGUGCGGUAGGGGAGACUGGAAUUCCUGGUGUAGCGGUGAAAUGCGCAGAUAUCAGGAGGAACACCGGUGGCGAAGGCGGGUCUCUGGACAGUUCCUGACACUGAG
rnacentral:rRNA from 1 species